rnacentral:rRNA from 1 species
CCUACGGGAGGCUGCAGUGAGGAAUAUUGGUCAAUGGACUAGAGUCUGAACCAGCCAAGUAGCGUGAAGGAUGACUGCCCUAUGGGUUGUAAACUUCUUUUAUAUGGGAAUAAAAUGUUCCACGUGUGGGAUUUUGUAUGUACCAUAUGAAUAAGGAUCGGCUAACUCCGUGCCAGCAGCCGCGGUAAUACGGAGGAUCCGAGCGUUAUCCGGAUUUAUUGGGUUUAAAGGGAGCGUAGGUGGAUUGUUAAGUCAGUUGUGAAAGUUUGCGGCUCAACCGUAAAAUUGCAGUUGAAACUGGCAGUCUUGAGUACAGUAGAGGUGGGCGGAAUUCGUGGUGUAGCGGUGAAAUGCUUAGAUAUCACGAAGAACUCCGAUUGCGAAGGCAGUUCACUGGACUGCAACUGACACUGAGGCUCGAAAGUGUGGGUAUCAAACAGGAUUAGAUACCCUUGUAGUC